rnacentral:rRNA from 1 species
UACGUAGGGUGCGAGCGUUAAUCGGAAUUACUGGGCGUAAAGUGUGCGCAGGCGGCCGCGCAAGUCGAGUGUGAAAGCCCCGGGCUUAACUUGGGAAUUGCGCUCGAAACUACGUGGCUGGAGUGUGGCAGAGGAAGGUGGAAUUCCACGUGUAGCGGUGAAAUGCGUAGAGAUGUGGAGGAACACCAAUGGCGAAGGCAGCCUUCUGGGCCAACACUGACGCUCAUGCACGAAAGCGUGGGGAGCAAGCAGG